CGAUCCAAUAUGUAUAAUGCUGCGGUGUGCAGCCCGAUCCAAUAUAAUAUAUAUGAUGAUGCGGCGUGCAGCCCCAUCCAUGCAAUGUGCUACUGCGGCAUGUAGUCCGAUCCAUGUAAUAUGCUACUGCGCCGUGCAGUCCAAUCCAUGCAAUAUGCUACUGCGGCGUGCAAUCCGAUCCAUGCAUGUAUAUGCACAUGCUCACACAACACGCGAGGCCUGGAAGCCUCCUUAAAACAUCUUCAUACCCUCACAUAUGGCCCUCAGCCUCAAUAAGUCCAAAUAGUCAAAAACCCCUCGGACAUCCGUAACAAUUAUACUCAGCUCAAAUGAUAGUUCAAAUAUCGUUUAAAACUCCAAGUUUGAGUAAAAAUAUAGUUGAGUUCAAUAAACAGUGUAAAUCACAUGGACUGAGUUUAAUGAUAUUUCAAUGGUGAGGAAAACAGUGAUGAUAGUUCAACAAGGGUUCAAUAAUCGGCAAUAAACUCCAAGUAUAGCAAUGAGACCAAGUCAUAAUGAUAACAACAAACAUUUAAAAUUUAGCGGUAAAAGCCAACAAUCGAGACGGACCAAGUCACAAUCCCAACGGUGCUCUACCACACGCUCAGGUCCAACGUGCAAGUCACCACAAUACAACACUAAGAUGUGCAAAUCCGGGGCUUCAAACCCUCAGGAUAUCAUUCCCAAGUAUUACUCACCUCGAACCGGCGAAAUCUCAAGCUCACGACGCCUUUGCCUUGAAAAUAAACCUCCACGGAUGUCAAAUCUGAACAAAACCAAUAGGAAUACUUCACAAUAGGCUAGUGGAACACAACCCAAUCGAAAUAACUCGAAAUACACCCACAAAUAUGAAGUUGGCAAAACCCGAGGUCCGAACCCACUUCUCGAAAAAUUACAAAAUUUCUAUUUUCAGAAUCCUCGUCUCGCCACGAGUCCGUACAUAUAAAAUUCAUCAACAUCGGAGUCCAAUUGCACAUUCAAAUCCCCAAUUUACAUUCAAAAUUUCAAGCCCUAGUUCAUCCCCUUUUUGAUUGAUUCCAAAAAUUUAAGGGCUAAUUAUCAUGUUUAAAAGAUGUUUUGAGUCCAUAAAACUUACCUCUAAUUAAUCCUCUUCAAAUCCCUCUUUAAUUUGCUCCAAAAUCUCUCCAAAAUGUCCAAAAAUGGAGGAAAUAUGAAUAAUCUCGUGGAAGAAAUGUUUUACACUUACCUGAACUGCCCAGGUACCUAUCCCUACGCGAAUGCAAAGCCCCAUCAAACUGUCCAACAAUUGAGGAAAUAUGAAUAAGCUCGCGGAAUGAAUGUUUUACACUUAACUGAACUGCCUAGGUGCCUAUCCUACGCGAACGCAAAGCCCCAUCGUGUUCGCGAUGACCAAAAUUCCACCUGCCAAAAAUUGCCCUUCGCGAACGUGGCUCAAUCAUGCGAACACGAAGGCCCUGGGUCCUACACCUACAUGAACGCGGCCCCUCAAUGCGAACGCGAAGACCAAAUUCCAGGCCUCCCAGAUUUCCUCUACGCAUUCGCGACUCACCCAUGCGAAUGCGAAGAGUACUUCUCUGCAACACCAACAGCUGUGCACAAGCUUUCUUUCAAGUCCAAGAAUAACCCGAUUAACCCUCCGAAAUCACUCCAAGGCCCCCAGAACCUCAAUCAAAGGCACCAACAUGACCAUUUACCUCAUUCAAACUUGGUCGGGCCAUAAAAACACUAACAUUAACGUCAAAAAUCACCAAAUUCAUCAAAUUUAAGCCUAAGUCAAACUAGAACUUUCCAAAUUCGCAUUUGAUCCAAAACCUGACCUAAACACUUCCGAAUGAUCUGAAAAUUUGCACACAUAUCCAAAAUCACCUAACGGAGCUACUACAACUGUCGGAAUUCCAUUCCGACCCUCAUAUCAAAUUAUCGCAUACCAACCGGAUUUCUCCGAAAUUCUAACUUCGCCAAAAUAGGCUAACUUUCACUACGGACCUCCAAAUUCACUUCCGUUUUCACUCCUAAGUCAUAAAUCAUCCCCCGAAACUAGUCGAACCAUCAGAAAUCCAUUCCGAGCCCUCUAACUCACAAGUCAACGUCUAGUUGACUUUUUCAACUUAAACUUUCCUUAAAGAAACUAUUUAUCUUAUUUCUAUCCCAAUUCAAUCCGAAACACUUGAAACUCACCAAACACAUAUAGUUACACAUGAAGAAGCAUAAAACGGGGAAAAAGGUGCGGUAACUCAUGUAACGACGGGUCAGGUCGUCACAAAACUGAAGGCUAAUAACUUACAACUCAACGCCAUCAUAAAACAUAUCAAUCUGUUAAACCAAAAUAUGCAUAGAUUAGCAUUCAAUCAAGUUGGCUUCAUCAAAGUUUUUGUCCCUAGAAUUACUCCACAGUAAGAGAUCCUCUUAUGGGGAACACAUACGAAUACAAGAUAUAAAAAAUAAGAUGAGUCAAAUGUGAAUACCAUUUUUGAACAUAGCUUUAAACCAAAUAUGAAUAUCAUCUCUAAACAUACCUGUGAAUCAAAUGUGAAUGCCAUUUCUGAACAUACUUUAAACCAAAUAUGAAUAUCAUCUUUAAACAUACCUAUAAACGAAAUAAAUAAGCACUACUUAAAGAUGUAAUAUUAUUACCUUAAAAAAAUAUUCGGAUUUGUAUGCGGUUGCUAAAUAAGCAGCAGUAUUUGCCUCGACUACAUCAUCUGUAGCUAGUUAUAUCCUAACUCUUAGUAUGGUCCAUUCUCAUAACCUUCAUCUUCCACAACUUCUUCUGUAUAUACAAAUCUCUUAGCUUUAGGUUUACUAAAAAUACUCCAUCCUUAAUUGAAAACAUCAUCACAUAGUACACCAUAUUUAUGCUUGAGAUACUUAGAUGUAAGGCUCAUGUAGUCACCCUCAAUCUCGAGUUAUUAUAUAAAAAGUCGGAGUUUAUUUUCUUUUUCCAAAUAAAUAAAACAUCAGUAGCAUACAAAUAAUUUACUUGCCUAAUGAUCUUUAUAUGCUAGAAUUAUUCAAAUUUGAAGGAAUAUAUAAAAUAUGUUCAAAAACUUAUGCGAGUCGUCGAUUACAACAAAAUGAGUCAACUUACCUGAUAGCGGAUUUGAAAUUACACCAUGUCCAGUACUCUUAGAAACAUGCACAUCUGCAAUAAUGAUAUAAUGCAAGAUAUUUUACUAAAGGAAAUUUUCAUUUGAAGUAAUUCAUUUUCUAAGGAAAGUGAAGAACUAAACUACUAAAGUAUGAGCUAGAGAAGGAAAAAUUUGUCACCAUAAUAAGUAAAAGAGAAGCAUUCAUUAAAGACCAUGUACUGUCUUGAUAUUCCUGAAUAUGGAAAUGAGAAAAAUGUUAGGAAGUCCCUGACUGAAUAAUCCGCUUUAUGUUCUCCCAUCAGCGCCGGCUCUAACGUGAUGAGGGGUAAGGCAUAGGCCUUAGGCCUGCAAAUAUUGGGGUGGGGGGCAUUUUUUAAAAAGAAUAGGCUUAUAGGUAUUUUAAAAAUGAUAUUUAGUACUUCUAAUAAAAAAUUAAAGUUGUUAAUAUAAGAGAAAAUAGAGCUCUUUUAGAUAUGUAAAUAAAGUAAUAAUUUGACAUAUUCAAAAUGAAUUGAUGUACAGUUUUCUCAACGUUUUAGUUUUACUCCUUUAUUAGAUAAUGUAUAAAAAAAUUCACUCUCCCUUUCUUAAUAUGUCCAAGUCAAUCUUUCUUUUCUCCAAUAUAAUUAUAUUUCAGAAACUCCUAUAUAUUUUCUGUCUUUCUCUUUAAUAUUCUUACUCAGUUGCUUUCUCCGAUAUUUCAUUACUCACUUUCUUUCUACAAGAUUUCAUUAUCUUCACUGUUUAACAAUAUUUUUAAGCUUCCAAUAAUUAUAUACUUCUAUUUCUCUAUAAAGUAUUAUCUAAUGUCAACAAUAUCUCAAGAAAGAUUAAAUGAGCUGGCUAUAUUAUCAAUUGAAUAAAGAUACUUAGAGAAAGUAUAAAUUAUUAACAACUUUGUAUUACAAAAAAUUAUAAGAACAUAUUUCAAAUAAAAAUGUAUACUAUAAAUUUCUUUUAAAUUUUUAGGCCUCAUAUUAAACUUUGGCCUUAGGCUCCGUAUAUCCUUGAGCGGAGCCCAUGUCUCACAUAUUAUAUUAAUUUGUGGGUCAAUCAAUUUCAACAUCAUACAAUAGAGGUAUUAAACAGAUAAUAUGGAGGGGACAUGUUGUGGGGUGUAACAGUUCAAGUAUAUAACCAACGAACAAAGAAAUGGAACUGAAUAAUUAACAUCAAUAAAAGAGAGCCAGUAAAUCGACAAUUGCACGGCACCAACCUUCGUGCUUUUACUCUCAAUUCUCACCAAAACUGUCAAAUAUAGAGCACGACAUCACCCUUCGUGCUUUCCUCACAUACUCUCACAUCAAGGCACGGAAUGAUCCUUCGUGCUCAAAUAAUAAAGAAACAUGGUACGGAAAGACCCUUCGUGCAUAAUUAUCAAGACAUGGCACGGAAAGACCAUUCGUGCAUAAUUAUCAAAACAUGGCACGGAAAGACCCUUCGUGUCGUGCUCAAAUAAUCAAGAAACAUGGAACGGAAAGGCCCUUCAUGCAUAAUUAUCAAAACACGGCACGGAAAAGCCCUUCGUGUACAAUCUCUCUUCCUCACCCAAUCACCGGUCACAACCAAUCGGGAAAACGAAUAUGCAACAAGAUUAAACAUCCCGGCAACGGAGAACAAUUCAACAAUAAGUCUCGGCAAGGGAAAACGAAUCAACAACAAGUUCGGCAAGGGAAAGAUACCACACUUCCUUCUUUAACUCAUUCGCUUCUCAACUAUCACUUUGUAAUUCAUUUAACAAGUAAUUAACUCAAUUGUUUCGCCUCUUUCGAAUUUAAAAGCAACUACGACUCACGGUCAUGCUAGAAUCGGGCGCAUAGGUAACCGUCAUCAUACCUAUACACCGACUCCAUAUAGCACAUAGCAAAUAUUGUACUAAUCUUAUUUCCUCAAACCAAAGUUAAAACAAACACUUACCUCGAAAGCUCUAAACUCAACUCACGCCUCUAGGAUAGUUUUACCCCUCGAAUUUGCCACAAAAUCGGUCGAAUCUAAUCAAAAUUUACUCAAAUGUAUCAACAAAUGCUAGUUAAAACAAUUUGAAUGCAUAAGAAUGAAUUUCCCAAAGUUUUACCUAAAAUUUCCCAAAGUGCCCCGGGGCCCACAUGGUAAAAACCGGGGUUCAAACUAAAAUCAGGUUAUCCAUUCCCCCACGAGUUCAUAUAUGUAAUUUGUUUUGAAUUCGGACCUAAACUGAGGUCCAAAUCCCUCAUUUUAAGAAAAUCUAGGUUCUACCCCAAGUCCCCAUUUUUACCCAUUAAAAGCUUUGAUUUUAAGAUGAAAUCAUGAUAAAACAUGUUAAAGAUUAAAGAAAUUGAGUGAAAGUUGACUUACAAUUGAUUUGGGAAAGAAUGAAUUAAGAGAAAAUCAACAAUGGAGGUUUGAGUUUUGAAAAUGUGAAGAAUGAAGUUUAAAACCGUCUAAGUAUAGAAUGCACAAGUGCAGAUAUAGCAAUUGCGAAGAUUUGUUCGCAAUUGCGAACUUAGCAGAAGAAAGGCGGAUCUCGCAAUUGCGAGAAAAUGUUCACAAUUGCGAACAAGACAGAAUUUGGGCAGAACUCGCAUUUGCGAGGGAAAGUUCGCAUUUGCAAAAUCAUGACUUAAGCUGGGCAAUCGCAUUUGCGAAGACCGGGCUGGUAGGAAGGGGAUCGCAUUUGCGAGUUUUUCUUCACAUUUGCGAGUUUUUCUUCGCAUUUGCGAUAAGAGCAGGCCAGGGGGGAUCUCGUAUUUGCGAGGGUGGCUUCGCAAAUGCAAAGCCCGCAGAUACCAACUGCUCCAACGUAACAAAAUGAACCUAACACCUAUCCAAAACUCACCUGAGCCCUCGGAGCUCCAACCCAAAUAUGCACACAACCUCAAAAAUAUCCUACGGACUUACUCGUGCGAUCAAAUCGAGACAACCAAAUAAAAGGUUUUCAAAGUCUCAUAAGCACAAAAAAAGAAAAAAUUACGGUGAUAACUCCUUUGGGUCAUCAUACUAAUGGUCUUCCCUCGAAUGUCAACACUCUUUAAAAAAGAGAAUAAAUUUCAAGCUAGAUUGUCCAUAAUGGUUUCAUUACUGGUUCAAGCAAUAACUAAAACUGAAAACCCAAAUUCUACUAUUACUGAGAUAAAGAAAAUAAAUAUUAAAAAAAAAGGAAAAGAAAAAAAAUCACCUUUAGAUGAGCAAUGACAUUCUGAAGUUGAUUCGCCCAAAUGGAUACUUCACUUCAGAAAUUCCCAAGACUUAAUAAAUACCAUAAAUCGUAUUCCUAGCCUGAAAACACCUUAAAAAAACUACUUAAAUUGAAACAAUGGAGCAAGACAAAAGACAUAAUCCGUGAUUCAAAAAUCAGAGCAGGAGCCAUAAAUUAGAGAAGAAGAAUAAUACUUACAAAAUGUAACUAAUAUGGACAGAAAAAUGAGAGAAAACGCAUCUGAAGGGAAGCACUCCACUAGAGAAGAAGCAGCUCAGCCGAAGGGUUGAAAAGGGAAAACCUAGGGCUAGAGGCAUAAUGGAAUUAAAAGAGGGAAAGAUUCGGAAAAUAUUUUGUAAAAGGAGGGAGAACUU
rnacentral:lncRNA from 1 species